rnacentral:rRNA from 1 species
UACGUAAGGAGCUAGCGUUGUCCGGAAUCAUUGGGCGUAAAGAGCGUGUAGGCGGCCAAGCAGGUCCGUUGUGAAAACUGGAGGCUUAACCUCCAGACGUCGACGGAAACCGCGUGGCUAGAGUCCGGAAGAGGAGAGUGGAAUUCCUGGUGUAGCGGUGAAAUGCGCAGAUAUCAGGAAGAACACCAAUGGCGAAGGCAGCUCUCUGGGACGGUACUGACGCUGAGACGCGAAAGCGUGGGGAGCAAACAGG